rnacentral:ncRNA from 1 species
UUUGAUGCAAUGAAUAGGAAGAGUAAAAUGACAGCGUUUGUUUAGAGAGGGAGCGGUAGCUGAAAAGCUCCUACAAUACCAUCAUUUGAAUGUAGCCUAGGAGCAGUUUUUGUGAACGUAUUUUCUCUUAAUUCAAAAUUAGGAGCAUGGGCAAUACCUUAGCAAAAGCCGGUUAAACACCGUUAUCUGAAUUGAGAGCCAAUCGUUUUUUGAUUGGAAUUAAAGGUGGUACCGCGAACAAAAUACAUGCACUCCUUCGUCCUUUUA